AGAAGCGAAAGUGACGGUACCUGCAGAAGAAGCGCCGGCUAACUACGUGCCAGCAGCCGCGGUAAUACGUAGGGCGCAAGCGUUGUCCGGAAUUAUUGGGCGUAAAGAGCUCGUAGGCGGCUUGUCACGUCGAUUGUGAAAGCCCGGGGCUUAACUCCGGGUCGGCAGUCGAUACGGGCUAGCUAGAGUGUGGUAGGGGAGAUCGGAAUUCCUGGUGUAGCGGUGAAAUGCGCAGAUAUCAGGAGGAACACCGGUGGCGAAGGCGGAUCUCUGGGCCAUUACUGACGCUGAGGAGCGAAAGCGUGGGGAGCGAACAGGAUUAGAUAC
rnacentral:rRNA from 1 species